CUUACUGUGUGUACAGGAGGAGGAAGGAAUGUAUGGCUGUGCAAAAUCCCCAUGGAGGAAGAGGCUUCUGCUGAGAAGAGCCCCUGCAGCAGACAGCAGAGACAAGGUAAGAGGCAAGCUCCCAGCUACUGCUACAGAACCAAGCCUGCCUGGCUGCUGCCAUGCUCCCCUCGAGGAUGGUUAUGGACUCACCUUCUGAAACUACUGAGAUGAUUGACAAGUUCUGCUCCCAGGAUGGACGUCAGGGUCUUGUCCAUUGGCUCUCCAGCUGGACUGAACCCCUAUGCUAUACACUUAUGUCACCCUGUCUGCAUCAGCUCUGUUGGACGGGUCACCAGGGAGACUGAGUCACUUAACUAAGAAAGCAUCUCAGAGCUGGGCAGAUGGCUCCGUGUGUAAAGUGCCUACAGAACAAGUGUGAAGACCUGAGUUCAAAUCUCCAGAACCUAUGGGGAAACAGGCAUGGUCAUCUGUAAUCUCAGAGUUUGCAUGGCAAGAUGAAAUGGAGACAUUGGUAAACAACAAAAAGACACUGUUCCAAACAAGGUGGAAGAUGAGAUCAAACACCUUAGGCUGUCCUUACACACGUGCACACACACACACACACACACACACAGAGGCAAGAACCACAGGGCCUCACCUUGAGUCCAGGACAAAGUGACUGCCUCUUCUCCUCCAUCUCUAAAGUUUUUUUAAUUGCUUAGAAUGCCCAUGUUCCAUGAUAGCCUGUGUCAUCCCCUUUCACACUUGUCAAAAUGGAGGCACGGAUGUGUGGUACUAAUCCCCAGUCCCCCGUGGCUUCCAGCAUCCCUGCUCUAAGCUGCUGAGUUACAGGAAGCCCAUGUCUGGCUAUCACUCCCACAUCCCCACUCCUAGCUCUUGUCUGCUGGUGUGGAAUCACCUCUCAGGACCCUGAGUGGGAGCCUGUUCCCAAGGGAUGGGGGUGGAGUCCCUUACCUGGCACAUAGUAGGUGCUUCGCUGAGGGCAUCCACAAGCAACAAUGACAACCUAGGCCUAGGCUGAGACCCGGAUGACCCUGUCUCUGCAUCUUAACCCCCACUCUACCACACAUUAAUCCCACUCUAAAGAGCUGGAUUCCCGGGCAGAUCCACUUCAUUGGAGAGAGCCCUGCCCGUGAAGACAGAGCAGGCCGGGCAGGAAAGCUCCUCGGGCUUGCCCAUCACUCCAGAGAUCGAUGCUCUGUGAUUGCUGCUCCAACGUCUGUCAGCAGCUGCCUAAUUUUAGCCCGAUCUUUGCAGGCUACUUGCCCUGCUCAUCCGCCCCCGUGGAUGGCGAGAGGCUUCGAGAGGCACCAUUGAUCUUUUGACUAAAGUGUCCUAAUGAAAUACAAAUCUGUUGUCACUUAAAGAGCCAUCUGUCAUGGUGGCACAGAAGAAAUGCUACCAGGAGAACAAUAACCAUAAUUUCAUUUUAAGACCCAGUCCUCCUCCCCCUUUUCCUGCCAGAGAAAAAUCGAUGUCUUUUACUGUUUCAUUUUGCCACAGAGCAGUGGGGGAAAGCCAUCAAUAGGAUGUUAAAGAUAUUUCCAGUUCUGCACCAUCGCGCUGUUCAGGGGCCCAUGACUUCUUGCAUUGAAUUAAUGCUUAUUUGCAUGGGAGCUUCACUCAGCUUUGGUGAUCAGUGUUGUAUAAGUGGCUCAGGUUAUAGCAGGGCUCCCAGGAGACCCUUGGCCUUGCACAGCCUCAGAUCUGCCUGGAUGGAAUAUACAGCCUGACAUUGUGGUUUGAAUAUGGAUUGUUCCCUAGAGUCUCCUGUAUUGAGAGCUGAUGACCUUUGAGGAAGAGAUUAGAUCCCGAAGGCUCAGAUUUAAUCAAUUGAUUAAUCCCUUGAUGGAUUCACGAUAUGAUAGCUUUACUGGAAAUGGUCAAGAGUGGGAGACAGGGACUAGUUAAGGUGGAAGGCCGCUAAGGUGUACCCUUGGGGUUGUAGCUUGCCUUGGUCUCAUCCUUCCUGCUUCCUGCCCAUAACAAAGCGAGCAGUGCUCCCCUGCGUUCCCACUGCUCAGAUGUUUUACCACCUAUGUGUGUGGGGCCAAGUUGGCAUGGACUGAGACAGAGAAAAACAAGUCACUCUUCCAGCGCUGUGACACUUAUUUCUGGUCCCCUGUUGUCAUUGGACUUGCUAAAAUUCAUACACAGCCUCCCUGGUCGUUGCUCCAAAUUCCUGAGCUAUAGACCGUCCAUGUUCCUCCCCUGUUGCCCAAUCCUUCCCUUGUCUGCUGAUGUGGCAUUGCUUCUCAGGAAUCUUUUGGGAGCCUAGCAUCAGGGGAUGUGGCUGUUCUUUCAUAUCUGACACAUAGUAGUUGCUUCACUGAGGACAACCAAGGGCAACAGUGAGAACCCUGAAGAGAUGGCUCAGUAGUUAAGAGAACUUUCAGCGCUUGUAGAGGACCUGAAUUUGGUUCCCCGUUCCCACAUAGCGGCUCACAACCACC